AUCGUGUGAGAGAUGGAGUUCGAAUUCUACGAUUCAGUUGACCCACGGUGUUCUUGGCAGGAGUCGGUGACUGAUUUAAGAAUUCUAAUUAUAUGAGUGUUUCAGGAAAUGAAUAAAUAGAAUUCAGAAACACGUUUUCCUCUUCAAUUAGCUAAUUUCUAAGGUUCAGCUGCUUCCUGUAUAAACCAAGAUAUGGUGUAAAGAAAAUUCUGAAGUGCUGUUGGUUAAAAAGAUCAACCAAGAUAACGGUGCAUAAAAUUCUAUGGACCCAUCUAUAGUGAAGCUUUUGGAAGAUGAUGAGGAUGAAACUAUGCAUUCAGGGGCAGAUGUGGAAGCAUUCCAGGCUGCAUUAAAUAGAGACAUUGGAGGAGAUGCAUCAACUUCUCAGCUGUCUGGUUCAGACACAGGAAGCAAUAAUUCAUUGAGUCAGUCAUUACCAAAGUGGCCAACUUCUACCCAUGACAACCAAACUGACUGUCAAAAUCAAGAGCCUAAAGUUGUGCCGCAGCAAGAGCAACAACAUUCUUCGGAAAUGGAGUUGAAGCAACAACCUCUUGUUGAACAACUACAGAAUGUUGCUUCUCAGGAUGCCAAUAAUCUCCCUUCAUCUCAGAAACAAUCUCAAGAUGAAAGUGACCAGGACCAUACUGGACAAGCUCCCCACCAAAAUUCUCAAACUAAUGGAGUUCAGAAUUCUGAAAAAGAUCCUGUCUUUAACCAUGAGGUAGUCAACACUCAUAAUCCCAAUCAUGAAUCUCAGUAUGCAAAGCUGCAGCAGAUGAGUAAUCAACAGGCUACUGUCAAUGAGCAGCCUAGCAGCCAGGUCAAUCGGAAUAAACAGGUACCGUUUGCCAUGUUGCUCCCUAUGUUGAUUCCCCAACUUGCCAAAGACAGAGCCAUGCAACUUCAAACUUUAUUUAAUAAAUUGAAGAAAGAUGAAAUACCCAAAGAUCAUUUUGUGCGGCUUAUGAAAGGUAUUGUUGGGGAUCAGAUGCUUAGAUUGGCUUUAACAAAAGUUCAAUUACAGACAAGAUCCAACCCAGGGCCUUCUGGGCAGCAGCAUCCUGUGAGGAUGCCAAAUGUUAAUUCAGGUGCAACAAAAUUUAAUGAUCCCCAUGCAUUGGCACAGCUGCAUCAGAGAAGUAUGAAUGCUGUUGCAGAUCAAUCUCAUAAUACUUCAGCUGUCCAAAUGAAGAAUGAACCAACUUAUCCAACUGUGGACAUUAAUGCUAAAAAAUCUCGGGAACUGGAUGUUCAAGUAGAAUCUCAAGGAGUGCCACCAAAUCAGUUGCCAUCAUCCAGUUCUAAUGCUGUUAGUCAAGAAACUGAAAGAUCCUCACUUCACAUACAAGGCCUUAAUAAGGAGCAACAACAGCAUCUACAUUUCCCUUCAGCAUAUGGUAGCAGUGGUGGUAAUUAUAGCCCUUUUUUGGGCUCAACCAGUAGUUCCACAUCAUCUCUAAGACCACAACAUCAUGUUCCACAUCAAAGCAUCAGUUCAAAUCAAUUAGGUGGGGUAACACAGGGUUUGAUUGGUAUGACAAAAUUUGAUCAGCAAAAUUCUUUCAAUGAGCCCAAGAGAAUGCCCGGUGGAUAUGUGUCUCCCAUGGGUAGCAGUGCCAAUCAAGGCACUCUAAAGGAGGAGUUUUCAAGAGGCCUUCCAGCAUCCACAAGUAUGCCACAUACGACAUCUAGCUCGCAGCCUCUCAACUCUGCAUCCUCUUCUGUAUCUCAAUUGGACCAUGGUGCCACUUUAAGCUCUCAGAUCCCGUCAAACACAUCUGGUAUACAUGCAAGGACUCCUCUGAGAAAGCCUUCUCCAGGCCAGAAGAAACCAAUUGAAGCACUUGGUUCUUCACCUCCUCCUCCAAGUAAGAAACAAAAAGUGUCUGGGGCAUCUCUGGAACCGAGCAUUGAACAGCUUAAUGAUGUCACGGCUGUUAGUGGUGUUGAUCUUAGGGAGGAGGAAGAACAAUUAUUUUCUGGGUCCAAGGAGGAUAGUCGAGUUUCAGAAGCUUCUCGAAGAGUUGUGCAAGAAGAGGAGGAAAGUCUGAUUUUGCAGAAAGCUCCAUUGCAGAGAAAAUUGAUUGAGAUUAUAACUGAGUGUGGCUUGAAGGGUAUGAGUAAUGAUUUGGAGAAAUGCUUGUCACUGGUGAGAUUCAAACAUUUUUUCAUUUUUAUUGCUGUACGAUUGUGUGUAAUCUUAUGUCUGAAAAAUGUUCAGUGUGUGGAAGAAAGAAUGCGUGGAGUAAUAAGUAACAUGAUUAGAAUGUCAAAACAGCGGGUUGAUUUGGAGAAGACAAGACAUCAGACUGUUGUCACUUCAGAUGUUCGGCAGCAAAUCAUGACAAUGAAUAGGAAGGCAAGGGAAGAGUGGGAGAAAAAACAAGCAGAAACAGAGAAGCUCCGGAAACAAAAUGAUGUUGAAGGUAAUGCUGGAAUGGAUGGUGACAAGGAGAAGGAUGAUGGUAGAAUGAAAUCAACAAAGGUGAACAAAGAAGUGGAUGACAAGAUGAGGACAAAUGCUGCAAAUGUUGCCGCCCGGGCUGCUGUUGGGGGAGAUGACAUGCUGUCCAAGUGGCAACUUAUGGCCGAGCAAGCCAGACAGAAACGUGAAGGGGGGAUGGAUGCUUCAUCUGGUUCUCAGCCAGCCAAAGAUGUGGGGCGCAAAUCUUCAUCGACAUCAGGAAGGAGUACAAAAGAUAAUCAGGCAAGGGAGAAAAAAGGUCCAACUUCUAUCGCCGGAGCCGCUAAAAAGCUUGGGAGAAAUCAUUCCACUACACCUCAAACCAGUGUAGCUCGAAGCAUCUCUAUCAAGGACGUGAUUGCAGUCCUGGAGAGGGAACCGCAGAUGUCCAAAUCAUCACUCAUAUAUAGACUGUACGAGAGAAUUCAUUCUGACACCUCUACUGAAUAAGGUUAAUAUGACCUGGAUAUUUUAUCGGCUGCAAUUGGAUUUGCUCCUAUACACAAAUCACAUUCUGAAAAACAUGCCCAUUUUGGUCUACCUUUUGGCUGUGUUCAUGGAUACGGCUCAAAUGGUUACGUGAUGUACAUCAGCAGGUGUGUAAAGGACUUAUCCAGUGGAACGAGACAUGAAAUUAUUUUCUUCUCUUUUAAGUUUUAACAAAAUGAGAAUUUCUCCUUGAGAGGACACUACUGGAAGGAAAAUGUUUCUUACAACAGUCAUCCCUAAUAUCUCUGACCUGAGGGAUAAGUGGCAGAAUCGUGAUGUGUACUUGCAGAGAAUGAGGUUGGACUUUAUAUGAUCGAAUGUUGAAAAUUGUGUAGAUAUAAAAUUGUGUUGAUAUAUGCAAUGAUUCCUACUAGAAACUAGAUUUUAUUUAUUAUUUAGAGUGAUUUGUGAUCUAUAUAUUACUAUACAAUUUAAGGCAGGCAAUGAGCUAAGCUAGCCUGGGAACCUCCAUGUAGCUUGGUUCAGCACAUUCUCAAGCUUUUGCUUGUUUAUUAAUGGGUCAAGUUUGAACGUUCACAAGUU